rnacentral:rRNA from 1 species
AGCGUGGAGACAGGUGGUGCAUGGCUGUCGUCAGCUCGUGUCGUGAGAUGUUGGGUUAAGUCCCGCAACGAGCGCAACCCUCACCCCUUGUUGCCAUCAGGUCACGCUGGGCACUCUAGGGGAACUGCCCCGGUCAACGGGGAGGAAGGUGGGGACGACGUCAAGUCAUCAUGCCCCUUACGCCCUGGGCUACACGCGUGUUACAAUGGCCGGUACAAAGGGAUGCAAGACCGUGAGGUGGAGCUAAACCCAAAAAGCCGGUCUAAGUUCAGAUUGGAGUCUGCAACUCGACUCCAUGAAGGAGGAAUCGCUGGUAAUCGCGCAUCAGCACGGCGCGGUGAAUACGUUCCCGGGCCUUGUACACACCGCCCGUCACACCACGAAAGCCAGCUGUACUCGAAGUCGCUGAG